UACAGAGGUCUCAAGCGUUGUUCGGAUUCAUUGGGCGUAAAGGGUGCGUAGGCGGCGCGGUAAGUCGGGUGUGAAAUCUUGGAGCUUAACUCCGAAACUGCAUUCGAUACCGCCGUGCUUGAGGACUGGAGAGGAGACUGGAAUUUACGGUGUAGCGGUGAAAUGCGUAGAUAUCGUAAGGAACACCGGUGGCGAAGGCGGCAUCCUGGACCAACACUGACACUGAGGAGCGAAAGCCAGGGGAGCAAACGGG
rnacentral:rRNA from 1 species